CAAAAGAUAGUUUAAUAUUAAAAUAUUAAUUUUGGAGAUUAAUGAUAAAGAAUUUCUUUUCUUUUGA
rnacentral:tRNA from 2 species